rnacentral:tRNA from 1 species
GCCCGGAUGGCGAAAUUGGUAGACGCAAGGGACUUAAAAUUCCUCGGAGCAAUCCAUACCGGUUCGAUUCCGGUUCCGGGCACCA